rnacentral:rRNA from 1 species
AGCAGCCGCGGUAAUUCCAGCUCCAAUAGCGUAUAUUAAAGUUGUUGCAGUUAAAAAGCUCGUAGUUGAAUUUCGGGAUCAAUAUGUCGGUCGUGCCUUGGUACGUACUGGUAUCAUUGGUCUCUCCUUUCUGACGAACCAUGAUGUCAUUAAUUUGGUGUUAUGGGAAGUUAGGACUGUUACUUUGAAAAAAUUAGAGUGUUUAAAGCAGGCUUUAGCUUGAAUACAUUAGCAUGGAAUAAUGAAAUAGGACGUUCGAACCUAUUUUGUUGGUUUCUAGGAUCAACGUAAUGAUUAAUAGGGAUAGUUGGGGGCAUUAGUAUUCAAUUGUCAGAGGUGAAAUUCUUGGAUUUAUUGAAGACUAACUACUGCGAAAGCAUUUGCCAAGGAUGUUUUCAUUAAUCUAAGAACGAAAGUUAGGGGAUCGAAGACGAUCAGAUACCGUCGUAGUCUUAACCAUAAACUAUGCCGACUAGGGA